CAAUUAAGACGAAACUGGUUUUCACAAUGAACUGACAGAUAGAUAUAAAAUUCUGAGAUCAUUGUGAAAGCUGAUUUCGUUCG
rnacentral:pre_miRNA from 1 species